GUACGUUCAAAAGUGUUUCAUGGGAAACUCGAAAGUGUUUAUGGGAAUUCUGAUCAAUUUCCGCAAGAGGUAUGCUCAAGCUUUUCAUGGGAAGCUCGAAAGUACUUAUGGGAAUCCUGAUAAAUUUCCGCAAGGAUUUGGAUUAUCUAUGUUUUCUUGGUUUAUGAGCAGGAGAUUGUAAAGAAGGUUUUUAAGAUCAAGAAACAGAAGGAGAAUGUUGGAAAUAGAUAGAUUUGUAAAAACUUUUUUGGGUUAUAUUAGAUGAAGGAAAUUUUGACUUUCAAGUAGAUAACAAAUGUGUAUUUUCAUGUUGUUGGUUUGGUUCGACUAAAUCGUUUCUUUUGC